ensembl:lncRNA
CAACAGUCCUAGUCCUCCCCAAUAUUUAGAACAGGUUGAUUCAUCUGGGCUCCCCAGAUAGCAUAUUAAUUAACACGUCAUAUUUUUUUACAUUUUUAUAUAACCUUCAUUAUAAUAAGCAAUGGCAAAAUGUGCAGAAUUGCAGGAAAUGAGCUUAAAUGGUCGAAUUUGGCUCCUCCUCUUGUGUGUGCAUUUGGUUGAUGUGUCAUUGUGGUCAUGCGCGCUUCGACCGAUGUAGCUAGUUCAUUAGCAAAGCUAUAUAGCCACUUGUAGCUAGCCAGUAAUUCGUCCAGUAUGUGUUGAUAUAAUUUCUAAGGAUUUGUUUUUGGACUGAAGCUGUAGAGAUUGGUAAGAAAUGUAACUUCUGUUGCCAAGUAUUUUUUACAGAUGCACAAUCGAGAGCAUUCUGUCGGGCUGUAUCACCGCCUGGUACGGCAACUGCUCCGCCCAUAACCGUAAGGCUCUCCAGAGGGUAGUGAGGUCUGCACAACGCAUCACCGGGGGCAAACUACCUGCCCUCCAGGACACCUACCCCAAACGAUGUCACAGGAAGGCCAAAAGAUCAUCAAGGACAAAAACCACCUGAGCCACUGCCUGUUCACCCCGCUAUCAUCCAGAAGGAGAGGUCAGUACAGGUGCAUCAAAGCUGGGACCGAGAGACUGAAAAACAGCUUCUAUCUCAAGGCCAUCAGACUGUUAAACAGCCAUAACUGAGUGGCUGCUGCCAACAUACUGACUCAACUCUAGCCACUUAAAUAAUGGAAAAAUUGAUGUAAUAAAUGUCUCACUAGCCACUUUAAACAAUGGCACUAAUGUUUACAUACCCUACAUUACUCAUCUCAUCUCAUAUGUAUAUACUGUACUCUAUACCAUCUACUGCAUCUUGCCAUCUUGAUGUAAUAAAUGUAUGUCACGCCCUGGCCAUAGAGAGGCUUUUAUUCUAUAUUUUGGUUAGGCCAGGGUGUGACUAGGUUGGGCAUUCUAGUUUCUUUAUUUCUAUGUUUUCUGCUUCUAUGUUUUGGCCUGGUAUGGUUCUCAAUCAGGGACAGCUGUCUAUCGUUGUCUCUGAUUGGGAAUCAUACUUAGGCAGCCUGUUUGUCCACCUUAGUUGUGGGUAGUCUUUGUUAGUGGCCUGUAUAGCCGAAGUAAGCAGCACGGUCGUGUCCUUAUUCUUUGUUUUGUUUGCGACAUUUAUAAAUAAAAAGGAAUGUACACUCACCAUGCUGCACCUUGGUCCGGUCAUUUCCACGACAAUGUAUCACUAGCCACUUUAAACAAUGCCACUUUAUAUAAUGUUUACAUACCCUACAUUACUCAUCUCAUAUGUAUGUAUAUACUGUACUCUAUACAAUCUACUGCAUCUUGCCCAUGAUGUUCAGC